rnacentral:sRNA from 1 species
GACAUAUUACUAUAUAUCAAUGAUAUUUAGAUAAACGCAAGUACCUAGAGGAACAGAGAGAAGGACCAUUUAAUAUAAGGCAAAGAAGUAAGAUGUUUAUAAUCCAUCAAACUCACAGAGGACUUGUGUCGGCAUUUCAUGCAUUUACAGAAGCUACAAACUAUGCUACAAAAAUGAUAGGCUUGUCUUUGAUUCCUAAGACUUAUGAGGAAUGCUGUUUCCAGAGGCUACUCAGCCCCAGCUGUGACCUACAUAUUAUGCCACACUGAGCACAGGCAUAACCAUUGUCCACCUGUGGUAGAAUGUUUUUUUUUUUUUGCCAUCUACCCUCGGCAAUUAAUUUUCAUUGGUGUAUACCACACCUUUGUAAGUGACCUCCUGCUGUCUCGUUCUGAAGCUGUAUGCAACCAGGUGCUCUCUUAUUCUAUGUCAGUUAAAGUAAGUUGGCACCUAAGCUUGUCUUUAAAGCAUUUCUGUGGUACCUCUUUACGUGCAUAUGACAUGUUAGGCUAAUGGUUUUGCCUAUCGGAAUGCCAUUUCGGAAAGUAUAGGUGCUUAAAAUGAAACUCCAAAUAUCUGGACUUCCAGCUAUCAAGAAAAUAAGCUUAGGUUUCAAAGAGACGACACUGGCAUUUCAGAUAAGACGAUCAGUAAAAUUAAUAGCAACUUUAAUUGCAGUCCACCAAACAAGAUAAAAAAAA